CUUAGGUAUUGCUUAACAAGGACGAGGGUUAGAAAAAGGAGUUGGAUGGCGCGGCUUGAACCUGAGUUGCAAAAAUAACACUUGCAAAAAUAAAUACUGCUGCACACAUGCUUUCAUGAUUUUUCUUCCUUCCCAAGGGGGAAAGGAAGGCCAGAAGAAUUUGAGGCAAACAAGUUACCUUGGAAGAAAGCAACAUACAGAUGAGAAUCAGCCAGGGUUCUGAAGAUUGGGCAGAGCAGAGGAACACCCCCUCCCUGCAACCACCACGAGUUUGUCUUGGAGCAGCCAGAUUAACAGGAGAUGAUAAAGAUGAGGUCAGCACUCUGGUCAUUGGAGAAAGCGUGUCAUUAAAGGUUUCUGAAGCCAAAGUAGGAGUGAGGAGGCUGAAUAGAAGACUCUGAUAGCCUGGAGGAAUAAGAAGCCACAGGUGGAAUGAACGAGAGUUCUGAGGACUGGGCAGAGCAGAAAAUCUCCCCCUCACCCCUACCACUGACUCACUGUCACCUGAACAACAAAUACGCUCUUACUGGCCUAUGCCACUAACUUUUGUGCUUGUGGAAGUACUGAACCAAUCUUGAUAAAGUAUAAAGCUGGAGGAGAAAGAAGGUAAGGCUGGUCUGUUUAGGGGCCUGAAAUGGAAGAUUAAAGAAUGUUACUUUCUUUUAAGAAAAAUGGGCUGCUGCAGUCUGCUGAGCAAGAGAGGGGCCUAGUGUUCCAUCAAAACUGCACCCUGGCCUGUGAGAGGGAUUAGAAGGAUCAAGGCUGGUGACUAGAGGUGCUAGAGUAGUAGGAGGCUAUCAUCAUCAUGCAAGGGGGAAGAAGGAGGCCUGGACAGAGAUGGCAGGAGAAAUGGGCUUGAAAGAUGAGAUAGCCAAGAGGCUGAGUGGGAAGGGUCUGCAGAGCAUGGUAUCUGACAAGAUGUGGAGGAUGAGGGAAAGCUUGGAGGGCCAUCGCAAUGGCUUGAAUGUGUUCCCCAAGACAUUAUGUAUUAGAAACUUACUCUCCAGUGCAACAGUUCUGGGACACGGGGCUUAGUGAGAGGUGAUUAGGCCAUGAUGGCUCUGCCCUCAUAAAUGGAUUAAUGCUGUUAUCACAGAAGCAGGUUUGUUAUUGCAGGAG
rnacentral:lncRNA from 1 species